rnacentral:rRNA from 1 species
GACGAACGCUGGCGGCGUGCUUAACACAUGCAAGUCGAACGGUGAAGCGCCUUCCUUUUUGGUGGGUGUGGAUGAGUGGCGAACGGGUGAGUAACACGUGAGUAACCUGCCCCCUUCUUCUGGAUAACCGCAUGAAAGUGUGGCUAAUACGGGAUAUUCUGGGUCUGUCGCAUGAUGGGUCUGGGAAAGAUAUUGUUUCGGUGGGGGAUGGGCUCGCGGCCUAUCAGCUUGUUGGUGGGGUGAUGGCCUACCAAGGCGGUGACGGGUAGCCGGCCUGAGAGGGUGGACGGUCACACGGGGACUGAGACACGGCCCAGACUCCUACGGGAGGCAGCAGUGGGGAAUAUGGCACAAUGGGCGCAAGCCUGAUGCAGCGACGCCGCGUGAGGGAUGGAGGCCUUCGGGUUGUGAACCUCUUUCGCCAGUGAAGCAGGCCUGCCUCGUUUGUGGGUGGGUUGACGGUAGCUGGAUAAGAAGCGCCGGCUAACUACGUG